UGUAUUGUACUGUACUAUCAUGAUUUAUAGUUUUGACUAAUAUACUGUCUUAUUUAGGUUUUGCAUUUUGUGUUGUUUCACAGUUUAGUUUCCUUAGUUCUAUGUCUGUCUUAAUUGCCCAUUGUAUUCACCUGUGUCCUAUUGACUCUGGUGUCUAUUUCAACUCAGCUGUGUUCUUUGGGGAGUACUAAUAACAUUUUUUUCUUACAGACCAGGAGAGCUGAGGUCAAAAUGGCAGUAACAUUAGUGCAGCACAAUGUGCCACUUGCUGUUGCUUACCACCUGGGGCUUCUUCUGAAGGAGUGCUUCAAAGAUUCCAGAACAGCCCAGGAGUACAGGUGUGCCACAACAAAAACAUCAUGCAUCGUUAACGAGGCGCUGGCACCACAUUUCAUGAAGGAGUUGGUGGUACAAAUGAGGGAACAACCAUACGCCCUCAUCACAGAUGGAUCCAUUAACUCAGGAGUAGAGAAGAUGAACCCCCUGACUGUCCGGAUCUUUAUCAAAGAUAAGGUUGACCACCGCUUCCUGGGGAUGUGCACUAUGAGCGGGACAAGGUGUGGGACAGCUGAAGUCAUCUUCAGCAAGAUAAAGGCCACCUUGGAAGAAAAAGCUAUCCCUUGGCAAAAUUGUGUUGGACUCUCUGUGGACAAUGCUGCGGUGAACACAGGCUCACACAACUCCAUUUCCUCCAGAAUCCUGAAGGAACACCCCAGCAUUUAUGUUCAUGGUUGCCCUUGUCAUGUAGUCCACAACACAGCUAAAUCAGCUGGGGUGGGAUUUUUAGAAGUGUCCAUAUUUGAUCUGGAGGACCUGGUAGUAGAUUUCGGCUACUGGUUCAAGGGUAGCACGAACCGAAAGGGGUACCUGACAGGUAACAACAACAGAUUACUUGACGAUGGAGACAUCACACCACAGCAGAUGGAGAAAUUCCAUGAAGCUGCCUUGGCUUUUCUGAUCAACGCUGUGGAUUACGCUUUGAAGAAGCUGCCGCUACAAGAGCCACUGCUCAAGCACGCCAAGUUUGUAGAUGUCCGCCAGAGGUUGGAAUGUGGCAUAGAAGAUGCUCUUUACUUUGUUGAGAGGUUCCCCUACCUGCUCCCUUACCAUGGGCCACAGGAGCAUGACCGGCUGAGCGAAGAGUUGCUGGAAUACCAGACUAUGCCAAUGCCCUGCCCUGCAGGACUCAGAGGAACUUGAGAUGGAGAGCUUCUGGGUGGAGAUGGCGACCCAGAAAGAUAAGGACAAAGAUUUGGUCUUUGUUGAGCAAAUUACAUCUGGACCUGUUUUGAGAUCUGCCACAUUGUCCAUUGAAGACCAGUGCCCUCAACAGUGAGAAGGAUGUCAUCAUGUGGGUAAGAUCGCAGGUGGACUCCAGCUUUCAGAUCUGUGUAUCCAGAGAGAACAUGGUGGAAAGAGGUCUGAAGUUGUGGAAGCAAUAAAAAAAUGGCAGUUCAAUGAAUCCCUUGUGGGUUACAUUCCUGGGAGAGCCAGGGAUUGAUAAAGGGGCCCUAAAAAAGGAGUUUCUGUCUGCAAUGGUGGCUGGGAAAGAUGCCCAAAUACUCCCUAAAUGACCUGGACGAUGAGCUAUUCAGGGCAAUUCGACUUCAUGUGAUGACAAAACGCAUGCCCAUGCUCCAGCAACUACAGGAGGGCCUGAAAGUGUAUGACCUUAUCAAAGUGAUACAGACCAAGCCAGUAGUGUGUUGCAGCCUCUUCAUCAUUGGAGACAAUGACUUGGUGGACUCACAUUACAUCUUGUCCCGUCUGGCCCCGAAGUUGAGUUCAAGUAGCUCAAGUAAGCAAGUGAAGGAAUCUAAAAUCUUGGAGUACUUCCAGGAUUUUUUUCUGGAACUUGAAGAUGCACAACCAGAUGAUGUCACAGAAGACACCCUGACUGUACUCUCUGUCAUGCAGUGGAUGACUAGUCAAGCCCACAGGCAUCUGCUUUUGGCAGAGUGGCAAAAAUUCCAAAUCACUGUGAACUUUGAUCACUGCUGUAUGAAUGACAUGCCAAAUCACGGUGUUUGUUAUCCAACUGUCAGUGCUUGCACUGACACCAUAACAUUCCCAGUAGCCCACAUCAGUAGUGUGAUUAAUGUGGUUUGAUAACCGAGUUGUUGCCAAUAACUGAGUUCAGUGGCUUGUGGUUUAGUCUUGAUGUAUUCUAUUGUAUUAUUUGUCUAUUAUUAUUUAGCUGAAAGUGCAUUUUUCAAUUUUGAUGAUACACAGGCUUGUAAUAGCGAGAAUACCCCCUCUUUCAUUCCUGCUCUGUGUCCCAAAUUUUGUGUUUUCAAUUAUGUGUUUUUGGAAGUUUGAAUCUGGGGUGCCAUAAGCCUCCAUUAGGUGGAGUUGUGUUGCUACCUCCUCUCCCCUUGGAUCUCCGCAAGUGUUGUGAGGACUCUAAAACUUAACCUGAUCCUAAGUAUACUUAAAGUUGUUCCGUUUGAGCAGUCAAGUCUCCCUCCACUAAAAUGUGUUUUUGUUCUGGUUUGUAUGUAUGA